rnacentral:rRNA from 1 species
AAUGAACGCUGGCGGCAUGCCUUACACAUGCAAGUCGAACGGCAGCAUGACCUAGCUUGCUAGGUUGAUGGCGAGUGGCGAACGGGUGAGUAAUGCAUCGGAACGUGCCUUUUAGUGGGGGAUAACGUAGCGAAAGUUACGCUAAUACCGCAUAUUCUCUGAGGAGGAAAGCAGGGGGCCUUCGGGCCUUGCGCUAGAAGAGCGGCCGAUGUCGGAUUAGCUAGUUGGUGAGGUAAAGGCUCACCAAGGCAACGAUCCGUAGCGGGUCUGAGAGGAUGAUCAGCCACACUGGGACUGAGACACGGCCCAGACUCAUACGGGAGGCAGCAGUGGGGAAUUUUGGACGAUGGGCGCAAGCCUGAUCCAGCCAUGCCGCGUGAGUGAAGAAGGCCUUCGGGUUGUAAAGCUCUUUCGGCUGGGAAGAAAUCGCACUCUCUAAUACAGGGUGUGGAUGACGGUACCAGCAUAAGAAGCACCGGCUAACUACGUG